GGAUAUGUGGCUAUAUGAGAUAUAGACACCUAGCCCACUAAGUUCCACUAAUUGUUAGUGGAACAUUAGGUGUUGAGAUUUGGCAAAUGAAUUGCAUGCAUUUUUGCAUGUAAUUAGGUUAUAAAUAGAGGUGUUUUCAAAUGUUGAAGAACUUUUGCCUCUUUUAUCAUUUUCAUCAUCUCAACAAAAGAAAAAAGAAACCUUCCAAUCCCAUUUUAUCUCCAUUACUUUCUACACCAAAAUUGGGUCCCACAACCCGGUUCUUUGUCUAGAGGAUAGCAGUUGAGUACUAGCGGUGGUCUCGGUUAGAAUUGGUAAGAAGAUAUCAAACCUUUUGAAAGCUUCAAAGGUAAUAUUUCUUAAAACCCUAAUUUGAUUAGUUUAUGGUUACAUGUUAAUUGUGGCAAUUAGGGUAGAAAUUCGAUUCUUUUUCCGCUAUGCAUGACUUAGUUCUAUCAACCUUGACUUCGUCUCCCGCGGUAAACAGUGUCUCCAAGCCAGUCUCACAACUCGCGUUCCAUGGCGGCUCAUGUUUGAUUUCCACUUCUUCACGUCCUUCUCUUCUCAGAUUUGCCGUAGCUACCUCUGUUGUAAAACCCACCGACAACGAAGUCCUCCGUUUGUUGUUCUCAGUUCAGGCAUCACUCAAAUCCAUUUACGCAUCUUCUUCUCUGUUCAUCGUCGACCUCUAAUCCACACAGAUUUGUAGUACCUCCACCCACAUUUGAUUUAUACCAGAUUCGCAAAUGAAUCCUCUCACAAAUGUGCAUCUCCGCUCUUCUCACCUUUGAAACCACCGCCCACCGAUGAACGACGUCGUCAUUCCAUCUGUUCAUCUGCCUCUCAUCAAUCUCUUCCAGUUUCGCCGCCUCCAUGUUCGCUCUCUAUUUGUGAAGCUCGCUACCAUGAAACUCAGCUCCUCGGAUUUCCUCUAUUAAUCCGCUGCUGCUAUAACUCGUUGUCCCUCUCCAGUUGUCACGAGUAGCAGAUCUCUGUCAAUCUCUUACUGACGCACGAACUAAACCACCUUUGUUCUAGAUCUCCGACGAGGUCUCUGAAGCAAACCUAACCGGUUCCAUAUCUAUUAGUUUUUGUUCAGAUCCACGUUUUGAUGCUCCGUCAGCUUUGCUCCGAUCGAAUUCGACUCCGUUUGCUCGCCACCACGAAUCUUUGGUUGUGUUUGUUCAUCUGUCUAUUGUGAAAAGCUAUGCUUAUCUUCACCUACUAUGGUUUAGUUCGUUCCAUUCCAGUGCGAUCAGAUGACAGCUUUCGUCCUGCUCCGACUCUGCUUCCAUUCGAUCCCGACGAAAGGCAUAAUUCAGAUCUCGCUUUUGUCUUAUUCCAAUUCUACUCCAUUUUCCUUUGCUUUGCUUAAAGUUUGUUUUAGCUUGUUUGUGUUUGUUUUUCGUGCGUUUCUAAUUCUAUUCUAGAUUUCUUAGUUUUUAGCAAACUCAAGUUUGUGAUUUCAACCUUAAGAUUGAGGGAGGGUAAUAACGUGAUAAGAUUAUUUUUAGGUCAUAUUAUUGUGUAGAUAUUGUUUUGAUAUUAUUUGCUUAAGUGUAUUUCUAUUUAGUUAUAUAGAGGCUUGUAUCUCUACUAAAUUAUGAAUGAAAUAAAGAUUUAUUUCAUAAAUUUAAGAGAAAUUUUUAAAAAUCAAUUUAUA
rnacentral:lncRNA from 1 species